AAAGCUGCCAGUUGAAGAACUGUUG
rnacentral:ncRNA from 2 species